rnacentral:rRNA from 1 species
CCUACGGGAGACAGCAGUAGGGAAUCUUUCACAAUGGGCGAAAGCCUGAUGGAGCAACGCCGCGUGCAGGAUGAAGGCCUUCGGGUUGUAAACUGCUUUUAUAAGCGAGAAAUAUGAUGGUAACGUAUGAAUAAGGAUCGGCUAACUACGUGCCAGCAGCCGCGGGCAUACGUAGGAUCCGAGCAUUAUCCGGAGUGACUGGGUGUAAAGAGUUGCGUAGGUGGCAUAAUAAGUAGCUAGUGAAAUCUGGUGGCUCAACCAUUCAGACUAUUAGCUAAACUGUUAAGCUCGAGACCGUUAGGGGUAACUGGAAUUUCUAGUGUAGGAGUGAAAUCCGUAGAUAUUAGAAGGAACACCAAUAGCGUAGGCAGGUUACUGGGACGGUUCUGACACUAAGGCACGAAAGCGUAGGGAGCAAACGGGAUUAGAUACCCCUGUAGUC